GUUGACCUCGGAUCAGGUAGGAAUACCCGCUGAACUUAAGCAUAUCAAUAAGCGGAGGA
rnacentral:ncRNA from 104 species